rnacentral:rRNA from 1 species
AUUGAACGCUGGCGGAAUGCUUUACACAUGCAAGUCGAACGGCAGCACGGACUUCGGUCUGGUGGCGAGUGGCGAACGGGUGAGUAAUGUAUCGGAACGUGCCCAGUCGUGGGGGAUAACGUAGUGAAAAUUACGCUAAUACCGCAUACGAUCUAUGGAUGAAAGCGGGGGAUCGCAAGACCUCGCGCGAUUGGCGCGGCCGAUAUCAGAUUAGGUAGUUGGUGGGGUAAAGGCUCACCAAGCAAACGAUCUGUAGCUGGUCUGAGAGGACGACCAGCCACACUGGAACUGAGACACGGUCCAGACUCCUACGGGAGGCGGCAGUGGGGAAUUUUGGACAAUGGGCGAAAGCCUGAUCCAGCCAUUCCGCGUGCAGGAUGAAGGCCCUCGGGUUGUAAACUGCUUUUGUACAGAACGAAAAGGUUUCUACUAAUACUAGGAGCUCAUGACGGUACUGUAAGCAUAAGCACCGGCUAACUACGUGCCAGCCGCCGCCGUAA